CAAAUGUUUCCCAUGAAAUAGUUUUUAUCUCCUCCAUUUUCACAGUAAAUCUGAAACACAUGAGUAGUUGCCAUCUUUUGUAUAUGUUAAACAUUUCUCAUGGACAUUGUGAGGCCUCCAUGUUCAGCAUACACCAGCUAACACAGCAUGGGCUCCACCAUGGUUACUGCAGUUUAAGAAAGAAGUGGAUUAGAUGGCCUAAUUUCUAUUAAGUCAGUUAGGAAGUCAUAUUCAAUAAUUGGCCUAACUUAGGAUCUUUUCUCUUGUAUUUUUUUUAUUUAGAUUGGAUCAUCAUGAUCGUAGACACAAUAGAACAACUUCAAAUGUUCCCAAUGUAUUGCAAAAUGCAGGUGCAGUCAAGACGCGAAUGAAGUACUUCCAGACUACAUGAAGCACUUCUACAUGUUUUUAUUGAAGACAUUUGAUUCUUGUGAGGAUGAGCUAGGACCAAACAAAAGAUAUCGGGUGUUUUAUCUCAAAGAAAUGGCAAGUAUUGACUAGCCAACAAAUUACUUAGCAAACACAUGCAUUUAAUUGAAUAUCCACAAUUACUUCGACCGUUCAAAUCAUCAUUCAGAUUUCUGUGAUCAAAAUUCAGUUAAUUAAUUGUGCAUGGAGAAUUCCAAACUUUUGUGACAGGCAUGCACAAGCAAAACAACAUGAACUGAAAAUCUUUGUUGCAAAACUGUCUUCGAGAAAUCGCUAGGGCUUUGCACUGAUAUUACUAUAUAAUAUGUUCCACAAAUUUAUAUGUUGCAGUUAAAGAUAUUAGUCCGAGGAUACUCUCAGGAGAUAGAAUGGCGUGAUGAACAUUAUGUUCCUGAAACAAUUGACAAACAUCUAGAAAUUUCAAGAGUAACUGUUGGAGCUUUUCAACUGGCAUGCUCUUCAUUUGUUGGGAUGGGUGAUAUCAUAACAAAGGAAGUUCUCGAUUGGCUUUUGACAUAUCCAGAACUUCUCAAGUGUUUCACAACGUUUGUACGACUAUCCAAUGAUAUUACAUCAACAGAGGUCUUUCUCUAUCUUGACACAUCUUUAUGUAUAUUUUACACCUUAUAGUACCACCAAAUAUAAUCUUGUAACCAAAUUCCACAUGAUAUAAGUAGAUAUUUUAGUAAGUAUUGGUUUAACAGUACCAAACUAAUGAAACACAUGAUCACAAAGGUAUUUUUUUAAUGCAAACAUGGUUGCAAAGCUCACUUAGUCGGUCUACUUACCUUUUCACUAUAAAAUGUUGCAGCGCGAGCAAACUGGAGGGCAUCAUGCUUCAACUGUCCAAUGUUAUAUGUUGCAGCAUAGCACAACGAUGCAUGAUGCAUGUGAGAAGAUAAAAGGUCUAAUUGAAGAUUCAUGGAAGGAUAUGAUGCAACUCUACCUUACACCAACAGAACAGUCGAAGGUUGUGGCACAGACAGUUGUUGACUUUGCAAGGACUGGUGAUUACAUGUACAAGAAAACUGAUGCAUUUACUUUUUCCCAUACGAUCAAAGAUAUGAUAGCAUUGCUGUAUGUGGAGCCAAUAUUGUUCUAAACUGCAGAGGCCAGACAAGACCCAUUUACCAGCUAUCAUACUUCAGAAUGUAGUGUUUAAUUACUUUCAUCAGUAUAUAGAAUAACUUGGUGACUGCUAGACUUGUGUUCAGAAAUCUUGGCAGUUAAGGUAGUGUAAGAAAUGUUGUAAUAGGUAAAGUACAAAACACUAUCAUUAGCCCAUUAUAUAAAUGUAUUGUGUUACCCUCCCAAAUGACAUUUGUGCCUUUUUUUCCUUUUUUGCAUACAUUGUUUUGUUUCAAUCUCUCUAAAACUACUGGUGAUGCAAAAAAACAUGACAAUACUAGGUUUGUUAAAAUGCUUUUUAUGAGCAGGUGUUCAUUAUCACAUUUUGCUGUAUAUCAUCCUCAUGAGUCCCAGAAAGGAUGUUCAUUCUUUUGUUUAGGGAAACAGUUAUAAUGUACUCCCUCCGUCCACGAAAGAGUCAAUUUCUAGAGUUGUCCUAAGUCAAACUUUUUAAACUUUGACCAAAUUUCUAGAAAAAAAUGCUAAGAUUUAUAGUAUCAAAUUAGUAUUAUUAGAUUCAUCAUAGAAUAUAUUUUCAUAUAAUGUGUAUUUUAUAUUCUAGAUGUUGUUACUCUUUUCUAUAAAGUUAGUCAAACUUUAAAAAGUUUGACUGACACGGAUCCUAGGAAUUGAUUCUUUCGUGGACGGAGGGAGUAAUUGGCCUAUUUGAAAUUAUAUUUGAACAUAAGUAACUCCCAUAGUCUCAGAUGCAUUGGUUGGGUCAGGAAAUAGAACGUAAUGGGUGCAAAUACAAGACAGUAUCAGUAUCAUAGGUGUGUUUUUCAGGAAUCUUUACAAGUAGAGGCAGGGCAAUGUGUCCAUCAUGCUGAUGUGGUUCAAGAAACGGUGCAUCACUUCUUCAAGAGUGAGUUCUUCAGUAAGGAUCGCUCAAAUCAAAUUCACAAUUUCACAUAACUGGGACACAUCUGUCCAGGUUUUUGGCUGGCAUAUCUAGACACAAAUAACUGUGUGCGAGAUUAAAAGCUAGAUUUCCUUGCCAAGUGGUUGACUCUCUGACAAGCUGAUGAAUCUGCUAACUAUGGACGAAAGAGAGAAAUUGGCUGGUCACGGUAGCAUAUCAAGUUUUUUUUAGGAAUUAUUCUAGUCAACUAAAUCUUUCAAUACAAAAUUUCAAAAUCAAAUAAUAUGAUUUCAAUAUAUUACUACACAAAGUCGAUCUCAGUCUACUACAGCUGUCCUCAACAAUAGUUCCACGAAGGUCAGAACCGCAUGUUCUCCACAACUGAAUUCUAUGGGUGCUUCCUAAUCAAAGUAAACAGAUUCGUAGGGUUGCUCGGAUCACAAAGAAGCUCAGACGACAGCAGGACCAACGGCCAGAGAGUAAGUUGAUUUCAUUACAUACCUCAUCGGGCAAUCCCAUGUGCCCUGUUGCAUCGAGCAGCCAUUUCGUCGAGCACCUCGCGGGCUUCGUAGUGGAGCUCGAGACCCUGCCUGCCGGGCGAGGUUAGAAGGCGCUACUGGAGCCAUCGUUCGUGCCCAUCGGCCGCCGCUCGGUCCCGUGCCUCAGCUUCCAAGCUCCUGCCAAGCAUCCCGCUUGCCGUCCGCAGUCUGUCGACAACAACAAUGCAUUCCUCUCGUGCAUCGGCUGCUCUGUUCUUCUCGGAGGGCUAAGCGAUUUGUUUAGUCACAUAUAUAAUAACUGCCGUAUAUGGGCCUCUGGGAUUGUUGGGGUUGAAGGAGUGGAAUGGAAGCUUAACUCUACCAAACGGAUAACCAUAAGCCCAUAACGUGGAUAAAUAAGAUAAUUCAGCCUGAAGUCAUUCUGUUAUGGCAAAUGAUGCUAUGAUGAGCCGGGAUGGAGUCCCUGUUGAGACCAUGCAUGCAUCCUCGC
rnacentral:lncRNA from 1 species